CACGAAGCCGGAAUCGCUAGUAAUCGCAGAUCAGCAUGCUGCGGUGAAUACGUUCCCGGGUCUUGUACACACCGCCCGUCACACCAUGGGAGUCGGAAAUGCCCGAAGUCAGUGGCCCAACCGGAAGGAAGGAGCUGCCGAAGGCAGGUCCGGUGACUGGGGUGAAGUCGUAACAAGGUACC
rnacentral:rRNA from 1 species